rnacentral:rRNA from 1 species
GAUGAACGCUAGCUACAGGCUUAACACAUGCAAGUCGAGGGGCAGCAUGGUCUUAGCUUGCUAAGGCCGAUGGCGACCGGCGCACGGGUGAGUAACACGUAUCCAACCUGCCGUCUACUCUUGGACAGCCUUCUGAAAGGAGGAUUAAUACAAGAUGGCAUCAUGAGUUCACAUGUUCACAUGAUUAAAGGUAUUCCGGUAGACGAUGGGGAUGCGUUCCAUUAGAUAGUAGGCGGGGUAACGGCCCACCUAGUCUUCGAUGGAUAGGGGUUCUGAGAGGAAGGUCCCCCACAUUGGAACUGAGACCCGGUCCAAACUCCUACGGGAGGCAGCAGUGAGGAAUAUUGGUCAAUGGGCGAGAGCCUGAACCAGCCAAGUAGCGUGAAGGAUGACUGCCCUAUGGGUUGUAAACUUCUUUUAUAAAGGAAUAAAGUCGGGUAUGUAUACCCGUUUGCAUGUACUUUAUGAAUAAGGAUCGGCUAACUCCGUG